UACGAAGGGUGCAAACGUUGCUCGGAAUCAUUGGGCGUAAAGCGCGCGUAGGCGGUUAUCUAAGUCGGAUGUGAAAGCCCUCGGCUUAACUGAGGAAGUGCACCCGAAACUGGAUAGCUAGAGUACGAAAGAGGGUCGCGGAAUUCCCGGUGUAGAGGUGAAAUUCGUAGAUAUCUGGAGGAACACCGGUGGCGAAGGCGGGUCUCUGGGCCGAUACUGACGCUGAGGAGCGAAAGCGUGGGGAGCGAACAGG
rnacentral:rRNA from 1 species